rnacentral:rRNA from 1 species
AGCGAACGCUGGCGGCAGGCCUAACACAUGCAAGUCGAACGAACUCUUCGGAGUUAGUGGCGGACGGGUGAGUAACACGUGGGAACGUGCCUUUAGGUUCGGAAUAACUCAGGGAAACUUGUGCCAAUACCGAAUGUGCCCUUCGGGGGAAAGAUUUAUCGCCUUUAGAGCGGCCCGCGUCUGAUUAGCUAGUUGGUGAGGUAACGGCUAACCAAGGCGACGAUCAGUAGCUGGUAUGAGAGGAGGACAAGCCACACUGGGACUGGGACACGGCCCAGACUACUACGGGAGGCAGCAGUGGGGAAUCUUGCGCAAUGGGCGAAAGCCUGACGCAGCCAUGCCGCGUGAAUGAUGAAGGUCUUAGGAUUGUAAAAUUCUUUCACCGGGGACGAUAAUGACGGUACCCGGAGAAGAAGCCCCGGCUAACUUCGUGCCAGCAGCCGCCGUAACAC